AGGGCCUGACCUUCAAUACUUGCAUUCCAUUAACCUUUGCAUAUCAAGUCAUAGAGGCAUCUGGCAGCAUAAACUCAAGCCAGCUCAGCCCACUCCUGCUGUGAGGAAGAAAAAAAGUAGCACCUCUGUGGACUGCUAUCUAUGAUAUGGAUAGAUUAUGCAAGAGAAGUAAGAAGGCACUUUUUGGGUGCAUGGCAAGGCUAAGGCUUCAUGAAGAAAAAUAAUUUCCCCACUUUGAGCAAUAUAAAAUAACAGUGUUGGAC